AUUGAACGCUGGCGGCAUGCUUUACACAUGCAAGUCGAGCGGUAACAGGGAGCUUGCUCCGCUGACGAGUGGCGAACGGGUGAGUAAUGCAUCGGAACGUACCCAGUCGUGGGGGAUAACGUAGCGAAAGUUACGCUAAUACCGCAUACGUCCUGAGGGAGAAAGCGGGGGACCGUAAGGCCUCGCGCGAUUGGAGCGGCCGAUGUCGGAUUAGCUAGUUGGUGGGGUAAAGGCCUACCAAGGCGACGAUCCGUAGCGGGUCUGAGAGGAUGAUCCGCCACACUGGGACUGAGACACGGUCCAGACUCCUACGGGAGGCAGCAGUGGGGAAUCUUGCGCAAUGGACGAAAGUCUGACGCAGCCACGCCGCGUGAGUGAAGAAGGCCUCGGUUGUAAGACUCUGUCACCUGGACGAAACGACUAAGUUAAUAGCCUUAGGAAUUAGACGGUACCAGGGAGGGAAGCGACCGGCGUAACUUCGUGCCAGCAGCCGCGGUAAGUCAUA
rnacentral:rRNA from 1 species